CUUAACACAUGCAAGUCGUACGAGAACUCUUUAGCUUGCUAAAGAAAGUAAAGUGGCGCACGGGUGAGUAACGCGUGGGUAAUCUACCUUCGAAUCUGGGAUAACAUUGCGAAAGCGAUGCUAAUACCGGAUAAUAUCUCAAAAUCGUCAGGUUUUGAGAUCAAAAAUGGCCUCUACAUGUAAGCUGUUGUUUGGAGAUGAGCCCGCGUACCAUUAGCUUGUUGGUAGGGUAAUGGCCUACCAAGGCAACGAUGGUUAGCUGGUCUGAGAGGAUGAUCAGCCACACUGGAACUGACACACGGUCCAGACUCCUACGGGAGGCAGCAGUGAGGAAUUUUGCGCAAUGGGGGAAACCCUGACGCAGCAACGCCGCGUGAGUGAUGAAGGCCCUCGGGUCGUAAAGCUCUGUCAAGUGGGAAGAAAAUGUAAAAUGUUAAUACCAUUUUUCACUGACGGUACCACUGAAGGAAGCACCGGCUAACUCCGUGCCAGCAGCCGCGGUAAUACGGAGGGUGCAAGCGUUAUUCGGAAUUAUUGGGCGUAAAGGGCGCGUAGGCGGCCUUUUAAGUCAGAUGUGAAAGCCCGGGGCUUAACCCCGGAAGUGCAUUUGAAACUAAAGGGCUUGAGUAUGGGAGAGGGAAGUGGAAUUCCUGGUGUAGCGGUGAAAUGCGUAGAUAUCAGGAGGAACACCGGUGGCGAAGGCGACUUCCUGGACCAAUACUGACGCUAAGGCGCGAAGGCGUGGGUAGCAAACAGGAUUAGAUACCCUGGUAGUCCACGCAGUAAACGGUGAACACUAGGUGUAGCGGGUAUUGACCCCUGCUGUGCCGCAGCUAACGCAUUAAGUGUUCCGCCUGGGGAGUACGGUCGCAAGAUUAAAACUCAAAGGAAUUGACGGGGGCCCGCACAAGCGGUGGA
rnacentral:rRNA from 1 species